CCUACGGGAGGCAGCAGUGAGGAAUAUUGGUCAAUGGGCGCGAGCCUGAACCAGCCAAGUCGCGUGAGGGAAGACGGUCCUAUGGAUUGUAAACUUCUUUUAAGGGGGAAGAGCAGAAGACGGUACCCCUUGAAUAAGCCACGGCUAACUACGUGCCAGCAGCCGCGGUAAUACGGCGGGUGCAAGCGUUGUCCGGAUUUACUGGGUUUAAAGGGCGUGCAGCCGGAGAGACAAGUCAGAUGUGAAAUCCACGGGCUCAACCCGUGAACUGGAUUUGAAACUGGUUCCCUUGAGUGUCGGAGAGGUAAUCGGAAUUCCUUGUGUAGCGGUGAAAUGCGUAGAUAUAAGGAGGAACACCAGUGGCGAAGGCGGUCUGCUGGACAGCAACUGACGGUGAGGCGCGAAAGCGUGGGGAGCAAACAGGAUUAGAUACCCGGGUAGUC
rnacentral:rRNA from 1 species